rnacentral:rRNA from 1 species
GACGAACGCUGGCGGCGUGCUUAACACAUGCAAGUCGAACGGUGAUGCUCCAGCUUGCUGGAGUGGAUCAGUGGCGAACGGGUGAGUAACACGUGAGCAACCUGCCCCAGACUCUGGAAUAAGCGCUGGAAACGGCGUCUAAUACUGGAUACGAAACUGGCCCGCAUGGGCAUGGUUUGGAAAGUUUUUCGGUUUGGGAUGGGCUCGCGGCCUAUCAGCUUGUUGGUGAGGUAAUGGCUCACCAAGGCGACGACGGGUAGCCGGCCUGAGAGGGCGACCGGCCACACUGGGACUGAGACACGGCCCAGACUCCUACGUGAGGCAGCAGUGGGGAAUAUUGCACAAUGGGCGAAAGCCUGAUGCAGCGACGCCGCGUGAGGGAUGACGGCCUUCGGGUUGUAAACCUCUUUCAGCAGGGAAGAAGCGAAAGUGACGGUACCUGCAGAAGAAGCACCGGCUAACUACGUG